GUCUGCAGCCAUCCUACUGUGAAUAAGCUCGAUCCCGUCUGAUCUUGGAAGCUAAGCAGGGUCAGGUCUGUUUAGUACUUGGAUGGGAGACCACCUUGGAAGACCAGGUGCUGUAGGCA
rnacentral:rRNA from 1 species